GGAGAAAAAAAAGGCAGAGAGCAAGGAUGAGGAGCCCCCAGAGAGCAGCAAUUUAAAUGGACCUCCAGGUAUACAGUAGCUAUAGAGACUCACAUAUAGUACAGCUUGGUAUGAGGUUAUCUUAUUUACAAUUGGCUUAAAGUUUGUCUAUUCAUAUGCAGGUCAGGUUGAAAGUGCAUUGUAAAAUAUAUCAGUUUGUUUUUUCAGUACAUUAAAGUAUGGCAUAUUUGUAUUUGCUACCCAGAGACACUUUCACUAAUAUUAUACUUAGUUUAUAGUGCGUUUGUUAAACACUAUAUAGCAUGCAUUAUAAGACCUUUAGGAAAAUUACCUGUACACCUUAUUGUAAUUAUUUUUGAUGUUUCUGAAAGAUUGAUCGAGAGCAGGACAGAAGAGUCCUCCCUGAGGAGUGGCCCCAGUGGAUCCCCAGAUUCCCACAGAAGAUUCAGACAGCGAGAGAGAGGAGCCUCCAACAACGAGUGGCGGCCCAAGGUACCUCCAGACAUUUCCAAAUCAAGAACCGAUAGAUCUUUAAGGACAGUCAUUGAAGUGUUCAGUUUUAAUGAGAUGUCACUGUUUGGAUUCUAUGUCUGAUAUGUGUAAAUGUGGCUCAAACUUUAAUCUAAUCUUGCAGAGUCCGCCUAAUACCCAUUGUGAAUAU
ensembl:lncRNA